rnacentral:rRNA from 1 species
UGGGGAAUAUUGCACAAUGGGCGAAAGCCUGAUGCAGCGACGCCGCGUGAGGGAUGACGGCCUUCGGGUUGUAAACCUCUUUCACCAGGGACGAAGCUAACGUGACGGUACCUGGAGAAGAAGCACCGGCUAACUACGUGCCAGCAGCCGCGGUAAUACGUAGGGUGCGAGCGUUGUCCGGAAUUAUUGGGCGUAAAGAGCUUGUAGGCGGUUUGUCGCGUCUGCUGUGAAAGACCGGGGCUUAACUCCGGUUCUGCAGUGGGUACGGGCAGACUAGAGUAUGGUAGGGGAGACUGGAAUUCCUGGUGUAGCGGUGAAAUGCGCAGAUAUCAGGAGGAACACCGAUGGCGAAGGCAGGUCUCUGGGCCAUUACUGACGCUGAGAAGCGAAAGCAUGGGGA